UUGGAGGGCAAGUCUGGUGCCAGCAGCCGCGGUAAUUCCAGCUCCAAUAGCGUAUAUUAAAGUUGUUGCAGUUAAAAAGCUCGUAGUUGAAUUUCGGGGUCAGUAGAUUGGUCGUGCCACUGGUAUGUACUGGUCUCACUGGCUCCUCCUUCCUGAUGAACCGUAAUGCCAUUAAUUUGGUGUUGCGGGGAGACUGGACUGUUAUUUUGAAAAAAUUAGAGUGUUUAAAGCAGGCUAACGCUUGAAUACAUUAGCAUGGAAUAAUGAAAUAGGACGUUCGAUCUUAUUUUGUUGGUUUCUAAGAUUGACGUAAUGAUUAAUAGGGAUAGUUGGGGGCAUUAGUAUUCAAUUGUCAGAGGUGAAAUUCUUGGAUUUAUUGAAGACUAACUACUGCGAAAGCAUUUGCCAAGGAUGUUUUCAUUAAUCAAGAACGAAAGUUAGGGGAUCGAAGACGAUCAGAUACCGUCGUAGUCUUAACCAUAAACUAUGCCGACUAGGGAUCGGAUGAUGUUAAUUUUUUAAUGACUCAUUCGGCGCCUUACGGGAAA
rnacentral:rRNA from 1 species